rnacentral:rRNA from 1 species
AUGGCUGGCGGUUUUAGAGUGCUGCAUCUUGUCAGGCCCUUCCUGGGUUUCUUACCGGAAGUACAGAGUGCUGAUAGGAGAAUUCCAUUCAGAGAAAAACUCAUCUACACCGUUAUUUCUCUCUUCAUUUUCCUAGUGUGCAGCCAGCUCCCGCUCUAUGGCAUCCAUUCAACUACUGGAGCUGACCCUUUCUACUGGUUGCGUGCUAUUCUUGCAUCAAACCGCGGUACUGUUAUGGAGCUGGGUAUCACUCCAAUUGUGACAUCUGGGAUGGUAAUGCAACUUCUGGUAGGAUCCAAGAUCAUUGAAGUUGACAACAGUGUGAGAGAGGAUCGUGCACUUCUGAAUGGUGCACAAAAGUUGCUUGGUAUCCUGAUCGCUAUUGGAGAAGCCGUGGCAUAUGUCUUGUCUGGAAUGUAUGGCAGUAAAGGAUAUGGUUUGGGUUCUGGCAUAUCUCUAUUCAUCGCUACCAACAUCUGUGAGAAUAUCAUCUGGAAGGCGUUUAGCCCCACAACCAUCAACAGCGGACGUGGUGCUGAAUUUGAAGGGGCUGUCAUUGGAUUGUUCCAUCUGUUGAUUACCCGAACUGAUAAAGUCCGUGCUCUGCGGGAGGCUUUCUACCGCCAGAAUCUUCCAAACGUGACCAACUUACUUGCUACUGUCCUGGUAUUCCUCAUUGUUAUCUAUUUCCAAGGCUUCCGUGUCGUGCUUCCAGUGAGAUCAAGGAAUGCCCGUGGGCAGCAAGGUUCAUAUCCAAUUAAACUGUUCUACACAUCGAAUAUGCCCAUCAUUCUGCACUCUGCGCUGAUUACCAACCUUUACUUUAUAUCUCAGCUUCUUUACAAGAAGUUCAGUGGCAACUUCCUGGUUAACCUUCUCGGUAUAUGGAAGGAAUCUGAGUAUUCAGGCCAUUCUAUUCCCGUUGGUGGUCUUGCAUACUAUGUAACUGCCCCAUCAAGUUUGGCUGAUGUUGUCGCAAAUCCAUUCCAUGCGCUGUUCUAUGUGGUCUUCAUGCUGUCAGCUUGCGCUCUCUUCUCAAAGACGUGGAUUGAAGUUUCUGGUUCAUCAGCGAGGGAUGUUGCUAGGCAGCUCAAGGAACAACAAAUGGUGAUGCCAGGCCAUCGCGAGUCAAACUUGGAGAGGGAGUUGAACAGAUACAUCCCCACUGCUGCUGCAUUUGGAGGAGUGUGCAUUGGCGCGCUGACUGUCCUGGCUGAUUUCAUGGGUGCAAUUGGUUCAGGAACCGGUAUACUGCUCGCUGUCACCAUCAUAUACCAAUACUUCGAGACGUUCGAGAAGGAAAGGGCGACCGAGCUUGGUUUCUUCGGCUUUUGA